CCAAGAGAAAAAGAUGCAUUACUGAACGUGGAUUUAAGAAAGCUGCUAGCCUGAAAAAAAGGGAUGCUAGUCCGAAAAAUGGAAUGUUGGUCUUGCGAAAAAGGAUGCUAGGGCAAAGAAAAGGGAUGCUAGUGAAAAGAUAAAAAAUGUCAGUGAUAAAAAAGAAGGAUGUUCAUGAUCAUUUUGGAGUCGAGCUUUUCAGCUCAGGACGUUUCGCUCAACCUAAAAAUCCUUAUUUCGUGACCAAAAUCAGGUCAAAAAGAUCCGGCGAUCUGUAUAUUCCGAUUGAAGUCAUUAGAGAUCACAAUAUUGAAUUGCCUGCAAAUGUGAUCCUGUGUGAUAAGAAAGGUAAAAAAUGGAACACAUAUGUAAAGACAUGGAAUGAUGGGCGAACAUGGUUGUAUGGAGGAUGGCGAAGGUUAUGUAAAUGGAACCUUGUUCAAGAAAAUGACAAGUGCAUCUGUGAGUUUAUGCCUUCUUCAUUGGGGCAAGAAUUCGUCUUGCAGGUCACCAUUAUUC